GCCUAGUUAGCUUAGUUGACAGUGCGUCUGCCUUGUAAGCGCUAGGCCGCGGGUUCGAUUCCCGCCCGGGGCG
rnacentral:tRNA from 1 species